UAGAACAAUGUAGGUAAGGGAAGUCGGCAAAAUGGAUCCGUAACUUCGGGAGAAGGAUUGGCUCUGAGGGCCGAGCGACCCGCUGCUAGCUUCGGAAGAGGGAAUCAUAGAGCGGGAGUCCGCGAGGUGGCAUAUUAAUUUGGACUUGGGCGCACCGAACGGCGAACGUUCUACCCUCGGAAGGGCAGGCGGACGGAGCGGGGUAGGGGUGACUCUCCCCGUUUUCGGCACGGGCGCGAGGAACGGCUCGAUCAGAACUGGCACGGUCCGGGGGAAUCCGACUGUUUAGUAAAAACAUAGCGUCUCGAAGGCCGGAGAUCGGUGUUGACGGGACGUGAUUUCUGCCCAGUGCUCUGAAUGUCACGGUGAAGAAAUUUACGGAAGCGCGGGUAAACGGCGGGAGUAACUAUGACUCUCUUAAGGUAGCCAAAUGCCUCGUCAUGUAAUUAGUGACGCGCAUGAAUGGAUUAACGAGAUUCCCACUGUCCCUAUCUACUAUCUA
rnacentral:ncRNA from 1 species